AAAAGGACUGCAGGCAUCAGAGGUGGGCAAGACCCUGGCUCCCUGCAGUCCCUCCCCAGCACCCCAUGAAGGUACUUAGAGACUGUGACUGAGUCACCCCGUAACCUUCUCUUCAUUAAGCAAAAGAGAUUGAGCUCCUGAGUCUCUCACUAGGCGGCAGGGUUUCUAACCUUUGAAUCAGUCUUGAGGCUUUUUUCUGACUUCUCUUUCAUUGAUAACAUCCUUCUGGAAGGGCAUUCACCAGCAUAAGCCCUUGGAGAAUGGCAUUAAAUUGGAGUAACACCACAGUGAAUCAGGCAGGUGCUGUGAGGCUCUGGAUGGGACUGGUCCCCAGACCGGGUGUCUGUCUGUCAACAUCCACCGGCCAAUGUCAGAAGACGAGAUACUGAGCUAGAUGGACCUUUGGUCUGACCCAAUAUGGUCGUUCUUAUGUGCCACCAUCUUCCACCCUGGCACUGUUCAAUUUAGAGACAGGGAGAGGAGAAUUUUCAGAAGAAAAUCUGAUUAAGCAAUUCUCUGCUCAGUAUGACUAAGGAUAUCUCCAUUUACUGUACACAUUCACACAACAUUGCGCAUGCUUGCAUUUUAUCAGGAGAUUGGUGACAUUUGAUGCAAAGCCUCAACUGCUGGAGUAACGUGAUUAUAUGAGACUCUCAGCUUCCAUGACAACAAUAAACUGGUGUUACACGUGGGGACUCAUCCAGGAUUUGACGCCAGCGACUGUGGUUGGUGACCCUGGAGAUGGAAGAGACCCUAAAAUGGCUGGUGAAGCAGCAGGAGGAGAUGAAGCAGACCGUGGUCAAUCUCCAGUUGGCCCAACAGACCGAGAAGCAGGCCUUCCUGACCUGGCAGGUGGAACAACAAUGGAGCCUGCAGGAUUUUAUCAGGGAGCAGACCUGAGCUCCUCCCUGCUCAGAGCCGCAUGCAGAAAUCCUACUGCUGCAUUCUGUGGGCGGAAGGACAGCCACCCAGGGAAGCUGCGCUCUCUCCCCUCCACUGCCGCGCGAGAAGCGUCUUUCCUGCCUGUGCCCCCUGCCACCACCCUUUUAACAGAUGGAUCACCAAAGAGGCCAGGGGACUCAUUCCAGACAGGCGAGUACCCAAAGCAGUGUCUGACAGUCACCCUGCCUAGUGAUUCCAGAGAAGACAAGCUGAGGACUAAUUAGAAGGACAAACUGCGCCUCUCCGUGGCUGCCUUCGUGAUGGGCCUGCUCACAGCUUUGUGUGAGUACUGAUUUCCCCGCACUGAGAUUUGAUGAAAAUAAACUCUCUAGCAAAUAAAGUUUACUGGCAGACUACAGCAAUAUAUACAAGAAAUCUCGGUGGGAAAUACAUUCCUGUCAUGAAACCCCUAUCCAAAGUUAUGUAUUGUUUUUUCUUUAAAGAGGUGGCGUAGAGUGGCUAUGUUUAAACUUGAAUUUAAACCAGCUGUGUUUUGUUUUUUAAGUAUGUUCAUGCAUCCUGUGCUGUGUCAACACUUCAUGUGACUAGGCAGCAUAGCAAGAUGUACUGGAAUCAUGCCAUUUGUGUGCUUCAGAGAUUGUGAUACUUUUCUAACAGUGCAGCUGAUGGAGAGAGUGCAACAUUAACCUUUAGAAACUCAGUAUGCUGCAUUACUUGUAUUGAACUGCAGAGGAGAUGGAAUUUCGUAAGUGUUGCAGUCUUGUAUAGGGGAAUGUGAAUAGAAGUUACAGGAUAGAGAAUGUAUGGGGCAAAUUCUGCACUGAUUUACACCCUCUGCAGCAGUGGGCCUGGUCAAAGUACACACCUGGCCACUGGUACCUGCUUCCUCUCAAGAUCCAUCUGUAUGAUCAUGCCAUUUAAUAAUGGGCUGAGGCCUUAAAAACUGAAGUCCUGCCUACGCUGCAUGGACAUUUGAAAUCCCAUGGCACUUUCUGUAAGAGGAUGCAUUUCUGAAGAAGAGAGAGGGAAGGCUGAGGGAGAGGUCAGCAGUACAGAUAGUGCAUGCAGAAGCAUUAAAUAUUGGAUGAUCAAAUCUUUUUCAUGUGUAACUUAUUUACAUAAGUCUCCUUAUGUAAUUUAUAAGUACUUCCCACAUUUAACUGAAAGUGGGUUUACUUUUUAAGCACUCAUGUAAUUAGGCUCUUUUGCCACUUCAUAAUAACGUAUUCUGGUGUUAUUUUCCUACUAAUUCAGGCAACACACACACUGCUCCAAUCUCAUACAGGCAGACA